UACAGAGGGUGCGAGCGUUAAUCGGAAUUACUGGGCGUAAAGGGUGCGUAGGUGGCUAAAUAAGUUAGGUGUGAAAUUCCUGGGCUCAACUUGGGGACUGCGCCUAAUACUGUUUGACUAGAGUACUGUAGAGGGAAGUGGAAUUUCCGGUGUAGCGGUGAAAUGCGCAGAUAUCAGGAGGAACACCGGUGGCGAAGGCGGUUCUCUGGGCAUUACCUGACGCUGAGGAGCGAAAGUCAGGGGAGCAAACGGG
rnacentral:rRNA from 1 species